rnacentral:rRNA from 1 species
GAUAGACCAUAAAUGAAAUGGAAAAGAAAAAAACUUUGAGC